rnacentral:rRNA from 1 species
GACUCUCGGCAACGGAUAUCUCGGCUCUCGCAUCGAUGAAGAACGUAGCAAAAUGCGAUACUUGGUGUGAAUUGCAGAAUCCCGUAAACCAUCGAGUCUUUGAAUGCAAGUUGCGCCCCAAGCCAUUAGGCCGAGGGCACGUCUGCCUGGGUGUCA